UAGAUCCGUGUGUGCUAGUUGUUUUGUGUGUUUUAAGUUAUAAACUUGCUCUAUGCCAUGAGGUCUUGAAUCUCCAACUCGAAACAAGUCCAGAUCUUGUCUAGAUCAAAAGUUAUGAAAGGUCAAACCUAGUUGACCGAACACAAAACCUGUUUCUGGAAACCCAGAAAAUCCCCAGAAAUUUCUGACAAGCUUUUGUAAGCUUCUGAUCUUGCAGUCAUUUUAUCUUUUGGCCAUGUUGUUAUUUUAAUAUUGUAUACUGAUAUUUAUAUUACACAUCUAAUCCAUCAGAAGCACUAGAUCGUUCAUAGGAUCCAAGAUACACUUGGUCAAAGUAGCUUUGACCGACUGUUCUUGACGAAAUCUGGAAAACCCAGAAAUCGUGAAGAACAGUGUCUGACCCAUACUUUGACUGGCUGAAAACAGGAGAUGGUGAUGUUGUUAGACUAGUCUGAUGUUAUGAAGUUAUACUAUGACAUCAUGACUACAAGUUUUAAUCUUUAGAUCACAAAACCAAAGCCUAGACUGCAAGUUACAAGGAAUCAAAGUAGGUACCUAAGGCUGUUCUUCAAAUCUGGAAAACCCAGAAUUUGAAGAACAGGUCUGACAUCAUUUUUGGAAGCUUAGAUCUCGUUGUUAUGUUGUUGUUUGGUCAUGGAAUUGGUAUAUAAUUGUAGUACUACAUUAGUACUACAACAUCAAAGUUUUUACAAGCC
rnacentral:lncRNA from 1 species